UUGUACCGACGAUUUGUGCAAUACUGACAUGAUGAUGUGUUUGUGGCAGUUGUGGCGAAUAAUUUUUUCUGUUAUAGAGCAAAUAACAAAGAGAAUGAAAAGGAACAGAUGAAAGAGAACUGUUCAUGGAUCCUUUCAUGUCCUUUGCAGGUGCCUUGGAGUUGAUUUCCAUCUAAGAGAGUCUAGUUAUAUAGCUCCCGAGUUCGGCGAUCAGUCGGACGAUGGCCACAAACUCGUCAUCGGUGAAGUUGUUUUCAUUACUGUACAGAAUUAUCCUCCAACAGUGGGCAUGAGAUUGAUGGUUUGGAUUAUUUAGGUGUAUGUUUCUCGUAGAGCAUGUUAUGGGAUUAGUAAUAAACGUAGCAUUAAACCUUCA